rnacentral:lncRNA from 1 species
GUAAUCUUGGUUAACCUGAAAAAAAUCACAGGGCAGAUGAGUAGGCAAGAAUGCACUUCAUCACUCUUGCUCUCAGAGAGAAGGAAAGAGAGCUGGAAAUGCCCUUGGAAAGCAGCCUCCACAGCUACCUGGGUCAUCUAAAUUUGCUACAUUCCAAAGGAAUGACUGCAUCCGAGUGUGAUUUUCAUCCGCGCUUGGGAAAAUCCCCCUGAAGGAACCUGACACUUUUAAUCUAAACUCUGGGCAAACUAGCUGCUACUGCAUCUGAAUGAUUUGCAAGCAAAUGAUCCUACUCUCUGAAGCUUAUGAUUUCAUUUUAUUUUAUGUUUAUUUUCCCUCUCUGAAUGAAAAGUACCACAUUAGGAAGUCAGUGUUUGUGUGUGUGAUUUUUGUUUUACUUGGUUUUGUUUUUAUUCUCAAAUGAAAGUACCCUGCCAGUAAUCACUGGUGUUUUGGGAAGACAACCAGUAGCAGUGCUGGCUCCCUAUCUUGGAGUGGAUGGGCUUUAUGUCCAGGCAGCCAUCUGUGGGAGUGGUAGCCUGGAGCCAGGUCUUGGAGCUACCUGUGCAUGCCACUUCCUUUAACCAGGCCCAGAUUGCUUCCACCAGGAAUGCUGAACCUGCAAUUGUUUGAAGGAUUGUUUCAGUACCAGGAUCCUUUCAGACAUCUGGUGAAAUGUGACAAAUCUUUCUAUACUGUACAGCCU